GCGGGUGUAGCUCAGUGGUAGAGCGUCAGUUUUCCAAACUGAAUGUCGUCGGUUCAAGUCCGAUCUCCCGCU
rnacentral:tRNA from 2 species